rnacentral:lncRNA from 1 species
UGCUGAUUUCAUUUAGGAUAGAAAAAGUUUUCAUUUCAUUUUGGGAGAAUGCGAUGCUCACGGUCUUGGGCUACAGAAGGUUGAAUUUAAUUUAAAACAAAUGGUGCAGCAGACGGGUAAAAGGGAAACAUUUCCCAACUUUAUUUUUCUUAAAAUGAAAUCCUUGGAAGUUUACUUAACAUGUCACGGUAAUUUUAAAAUAGUUUUAUGUUUUUUUUUUUAUUUUAAUCCUUUUUGCAUUAGAAUAUUUUACAUGAAUUACUUUCUUUUAUCUUUUUAAUUAAGUGUUGCAAUUUUAAUAGCUUUAGUUGUGCU